CCCCCCCCAGAUAUUCAUAGAAGGAGAAGACUUGGACUCUCUUAUGUCCAGGGAGGAAACCUACAAACAUUAGUUAGUGCAGGUUGAUAAGGCCUCUGGGCCCAAGAGUACUGGGACUUGGGUGUUGUCCUUGGGAAAAGGGGGCCAGGGGGGCCUCUUAGUGGGGAGACAAAACUGGGUGAUGCUCUGAAAUGUAGGACUAUCCUCCCUGCAGCAGUCCUGGGAGUCACCUCCUGGCUCCUCUGCCCAUCGCCCCCAGCUCUGACCCAGCCCUGGCACUUCCUCCUCCUCCAUGUCCGGUUGUUUCCUUUCUGGGCUCCCUGAAUAUCCCCCCAACUCAGUGUCUAUUAGUUCACUUCACCCUCCACAAAAAAUACUAACAGUUUCUCCUUGCUCUUGGGAAAUGGACCAAAACCCUUCAUGAGGCCUACAAAGUCCCUGCCAGGUGUGGUCCCCACUGGUUCCCAGCCUCAUGUCCUGCCACAGGCCACGCUGCUGUCUUCCUACCUUUAGGACCCCUGACUGGCGUUAGGACACUCAGUUCACAUAUUUCUAGCUUACAUCAUCUUUACUGGUAAAGACCAUGCUUUCCCCCUAAGAUCAGGAACAAAACAGGGAGGUCAGCUCUCACCACCUGUUCAGUACUGCAUUGGAAGCUCUAGCAAGAACGAUCAGUCAAGAAAAAUAAAAGGCAUUCACACUGGAAACAAGUGAAAAUACCUCUAUGUGCAGAUGAGAUGAUCUUGCAUAUAGAAAAUCCUAAGAAAUGCACUGCACUAAAAAACUAGGAGAACCAAUAAACACGUUCAGCAAGAUUAGAGAACACAAGACGGAGAAAACAAUUCCAUUUAACCAAUUUAACGAAAGGAUUCUAUUUUUACGAAAUAUCCAGAAAAGGUUAAUCUAUAAUGACAGAAAGCAGAUUAGUGGUUGCCUGGGGCUGAGGCUGGGGGUUGGAGGCAGUGACUGCUAAUGGGAAGGAGGUGUCUUUUGGGGAUGAUGAAAAUUCGAAAAUUAGAUUCUGAUGGGGGCAGCUGGCUGGCUCAGUUGGUAGAGCAUGUGACUCCUGAUCUCCACGUUGUGAGUUCCAGCCCCACACUGGGUACAGGGAUUACUUAAAUAAAAUUAAAAAAAAAAAAAAAAACCCAAAACCCCAACAGUUGAAUGGUACUUUAAAAAGGUUGAUUUAAUGAUAUAUAAAUUGUAUCUCAAAACAAUCUGCUUAAAAAAAAAAAAGUAACUUACACAGACCCCUUUUGGCUCAGCACCACACUGCUGACACCCAGAGUGACCUCAGCCACUCUGAGACGGCAGACACCAGGUGCCCCAGAACCGGGGCAGGCUGGAGAAGGAGAUGGAGGUAGGGAGGACUGUUGAAACACCUAUUUGAACACAGCCACUGCGUGGUAUUUGGUCCCAAGGCAUCAGAGGAUAAAUCGAAGAAAACCCAAUCAAGGUAAAACCUCAAGGGUUACUGGCGGAUUUGGGUUCCCCUGUAGGCCCUUGGCAGCAGUUGGCUUGAUCGUCCCAGGCCCCAGACAGCGGCUCCCACGCUUUACCAACGUAAAACCAUCUGGUUAUUUACUAUUUGGCUAAACGGGGUUCACUGUGCUUCCCAGGUGGGAGCAUAAAGAGUCCAGGCAGCUUUGAGAUGGGGCAUUGUUUGCUGCGGAACAAGAGUGGUGGACUGGAAGACUGUGUUUGAUGGGGAAUAGAUGUGGAGGUUGGGAAUAGCUCUGCAUUUUGCAUUAAGGAAGUGUCUGUUUAAAGUUUAUUUAUAUUGAGAGGGAGAGAGUGUGGCUAAGGGAGGGGCAGAGGGAGAGGGAGAUGGAGAAUCCCAAGUAGGCCUCACACCAUCAGCGCAGAGCCCCAGGCAGGGCUCAAACUCACAAACCGUGAGAUCGUGAGCUGAGCGGAAAUCAAGAGUCGGACGCUUAACUGAUGGAGUCACUGAGGCACCCCCAGGGAAGUGUCUGUUUAGACAACGAACCCUUAGGUCACUAUGGUCUGGCUCUUUCCUGUUUAAAUGUCCUCUGUGACCAGGACGGAGUACAACUCUUCCAGCAGGGCAGCCAGUGACAGCAAAAUCUUGCUGGCCGGUUCCUGCUGCCUCAUUCUCAGAUCUGAGCAUGGUUUCACUCUUGUGAGUGUGGGCAGAAGGGACGUUGUCUGGGAACCCCUGCCUAUAGCUGUAUGAAAUAUAAACUCGCCUGGGCUGUGGCUGUGCUGGGCAAGGCACUGUGCUAGGCAUUUUCACAGACGUGGCCUCAUUUAAUUUCACAACACUCCUGUGAAAUGACCACUGUAGGUUCCUGGGACUUCCUGCCGGUCUCAUCCCUAGACGUCACAGUAACAGACGCAUAAGGCUCCCAGAGCUCCAGCCACACAGACCUUUGAAACCAACUUGCCAAGGACCUACAUGGGAACCCAAAUCCCCCAGUAAUCCUUGAGGUCCCUUGGUCUGAUGUCCCCUAGGCCCACCCCUGUCCUAAGCGGCACUGCUAAUUCCUUCUCAGCCUUCAGAUCUCAUUUCAAACCCCCCACCACAUCCUGGGCAGCUCACACCUGCUCAGAGCAGGGGGUCCAUGUGGCAGUCCAGGGACCUAUGUCACCAUUCAGCUGACUCGCUCUUAGGACCAAAGGUUCCAUGGGGGCAGGGACUCGGCCUCUUCAUGCUCACCACUCUAGCCCCCGGACCUGGCACCAGGCCCAGGAACACUGCGUGGCCUCAGUCUGCACAUUCUCAUGGAGUGACCGUGUGCAGGAGUAGGAGGGACACUGCACUGGCUGAAGAGUCAGUGCGCCAGGUGUGAGGCCCAGUUUGGCCACUGGCGGGCAUGUGGCUUGGGGAUGUCGCUUCACCUCUUUAAGGAUCAGCGUCUUCAUCUGUAAAAAAGGGAGAUUCGGGCAAUGGUCCAGGUUCUUUUUCUAAUUCUUAGAAUGCUUUCUAGAGCGCUCUCAACAAAAUCUCUACGGUCAGAGGUACCAUGGUACACAGGAAGACUGUACUGAUGAAGAGACUGCUGCCUCCACAUUUCACCACAUUGCAGACCCAGAAACCAUCGCAGAAAGCAGUCGGGAGGGACAGCCAUUUUCCUAGCUCUAUCUUAGACCGAUGCAGCCUUAAACCCACACAAUCUCUUUUGCAUCACUAGGUGGCGAUCCUGUGUAAUCAAUAAUGGGGAGAGAUCAUGACUAGGAGCUGCCAGAAAUUGAUUAAUGAGGCCUUUUAGGUGCCUGGAGCCUCCACUUGCGGCCAAGGGGCGGUUGGUCAAUGCAGCGAAGGAGGGAUUCAGACUUGCUCACACAGCAAACACGACCCUCCCGCUCAGGCGGCUGGCACUGGCUCGUCCAGCCCAGGAGAGAGGGUUGUUAGGCCAUCGGGAAUUCUGUGAGUCGUUAAACACCGGCCACUGUUAAAGAUUAAACGGAACACACUUACAAGUGACAAAAUUAAAAGCACAAGCAAAAACUACUCAUCACUCAACCCUUCCUAAUUAUUUUGCUACAUUUCAUUUCUGUCUCUGCACUCGAGGUUAAAAACGUCUGGUUGCUUAAGUCUGGUGGGAACACUCGGUAACGGUGUGUGGCUGCACAUCUCUUCCCAAGCCCGAGGCCGGUGUGGUCAUGCCCGUAGCCUGGCACUGGCCAUGGCGAGUAGAAACUGGCAAACUGAGCACGACUCAGGCCCUCUGGUGUGUGGACAGCCAGUCGUUCAGCAGCACACUGCUGUCCUCACACUGUUGUGCUCCGCCUGGAUGUGUUCUGUAACACACAUGCGGGACUCAGGUAAUUUUGGCACGUGACAUUUGCACGCCUACUAAGCGUUACAGGAUUGAAAACCGUGUCAGAAAAACAAUCAUUUCAUUGGGCUAAUGGGGGUUGGAGCAAGAAUUUCAGACUCACAGCAACGGUUCUUUUUCUUGUUGCCAUUUCAAUAAUAAGUGUUCUUGUUACACAUAUUAACACGUAGUUGGAAACUGCCAUGUCACUGAGCAAACUGUCUCCUUCUAGGUAACUUCUGCACAAUGUAAUCCAGUUUUCCUGUUACUGCUUGACCAUCAUUUUGGGAGAAUUUGUACACACUUCCCACUUGAGCGUAUCUCUCCCCCAGUAAGAAGACAAACACAGGAAGAAACCGAGUUACAGCAGCCUGUUUUUACAGCAGGUCAUUUUCGGAGUUGGGCCUCAGACCUCCGAUGCCAUCACAUUAUAACCCACACCACGAGGUUUCCCAAGUCAUCAAGCACCUUCCAUCCAGGCUGCUUUGGAAAAACCACGCUGCUAGAGAAGUCCUGUCCUAGUGACUGAGGAAGACCUUUGCCCUGAGACCUCAGGAUAACGACUGACACUUGAACCCUCACAGACAACUGCUCGAUCUCACAAGAUGCCGAAAGCCCAUGAGAAAGCAAAACCCCAAAUGACGUCAAUGGUGACAAGGCUCCCUAAAUUGGAUUAAUCUCUGGAGUAUCUUGAAAUUUCCUGAAGUUGCCCUCCCAUGAAAUGGACCACAGGAUUAAAGAGGCCAACAGAAAAGGUAUUUCCAGUCUGGGUUUUAAUGCUUCCAGUGAUGAAAUGGAGUCAGAUUAUGUACGUCUCAGCUAUAGGAGGGACAACCAAAAGCACACGUGACUGGCAAAUCAAGUGUUCCUAUGAAAUCAGAGCAAAGGCUGAUGAAUGAAAUGUUUGUAUGAUUCUUGCUUAACCUGUUCUCUUUCUGGAUUCUCAGGAAAGACCUUGAACCUGAUUCAGACAUUUCAAAAGGUAUGCUAAGAGACUGCAGGGUAACGAUUCCCUCUACAUCUUUCCUAGUUUCCCUGGACAAUAACAAUGAGGACGACAGUAAGAAUAGCCACCAUGUCCCAAACGUGGCGAGCCAAGGGUAAAGGAUCCAGUUGGGAUGGUAAUUAAUUUAGCAAAGGCUUCAUGCUCUCUCCAAAAAAACCUGGCUGAACCUAAAAUAAACUGACAAAGACUUUCCUGAAUUAACUUGAGGUGCUAAUUAUACCAUUUGAUUUUAUCCACAUUACAUGAUCCAAAAGAAAUGAUUGCUUAUGCUAAAUACGUCUAUAAAGAAAAGUGCAUUGGGGGUGGGAGAGGGAAAGGAAAGAUAAGCCCAAGAGUACGAAAGCCCGAGGAGCAAAAGACCGCGGAAACCUUGCCUUUAUAGAUUGGCACCUUCAAGGUCACUGUUUGGAACUGUGACGUUUUACAGGAAUUUUUGUGUUUAUGGAAAGGCUUAAGUUUGGGAUCCCAAAGUCUGCUGUUUGCUUCGACAACCUGCUGUGAAAUGAAGGCAGCUCAUGUUUUCUUGGCCAAGAGGAGCUAUUAAAUGCAGGUGACCCCGAGGCUUCUGAAAUGUCUAAGGCAUGCCGAAGGUCACUGGCCACAUUAGAAAUGAUUUUAAUUUUCACUUGAUGUGUUUCAGAAAAUAAAUAUGAAGAAAAAGUUCA